rnacentral:rRNA from 1 species
GACGUAGGGCGCGAGCGUUGUCCGGAUUUAUUGGGCGUAAAGAGCUCGUAGGCGGCUUGUCGCGUCGACUGUGAAAACUUGGGGCUCAACCCCAAGCUUGCAGUCGAUACGGGCAGGCUAGAGUUCGGUAGGGGAGACUGGAAUUCCUGGUGUAGCGGUGAAAUGCGCAGAUAUCAGGAGGGACACCGAUGGCGAAGGCAGGUCUCUGGGCCGAUACUGACGCUGAGGAGCGAAAGCGUGGGGAGCGAACAGG